AAUGGUGGGAACACUGAACCAGCCAUCCCGCGUGCAGGACGAAGGCCCUCUGGGUUGUAAACUGCUUUUAACAGGGAAGAAACGGGCGGAUUAAUCUGCUCCUGACGGUACCUGUGGAAUAAGCACCGGCUAACUCCGUGCCAGCAGCCGCGGUAAUACGGAGGGUGCAAGCGUUAUCCGGAAUCACUGGGUUUAAAGGGUGCGUAGGCGGCCUGGUAAGUCAGGGGUGAAAGCUUCCCGCUCAACGGGAGAACUGCCCUUGAUACUGCCGGGCUCGAAUUGGGUUGAGGCUGGCGGAAUGUGGCAUGUAGCGGUGAAAUGCUUAGAUAUGCCAUAGAACACCGAUUGCGAAGGCAGCCAGCCAAGCCUUGAUUGACGCUGAGGCACGAAAGCGUGGGGAGCGAA
rnacentral:rRNA from 1 species